rnacentral:lncRNA from 1 species
GUAAUAUCCGGUGUUGGAGGUGGAGCCUGGUGGGAGGUGAUUGGAUCAUGUGGGCAGAUUUCUCAUGAAUGGUUUAGCAGCAUCCCCUUUGUCCUGCCCUUGGAACAAUGAGUUAUCUGUCAGAUCUGGUAGUUAAAGAGUGUGUGGCACCUCCCCCUCGUUCUCUUCCUCCUGCUACUGCCAUGUGAGAUACCUGCCCCUACUUUGCCUUCUUCCAUGAUUGGAAGCUUCCUGAGGCCACCCCAGAGUCAGAAGCCACUAUGCUUCCUGUACAGCUUGCAGAACCCUCCUCCAUUAACCCCUGCAGAGUAUUCACUGACUGCUGAAACUAGAGCAUCACUGAGAAGCAAGAGAUAGACUGACCUAACUAGAGGGAGAGCUGCCGUCCAGGAUGAUGCCACCAUGACAGGAGGUGAGAAGGAACACAGCAUCUUCUGCAAAUGCUACAGUAAAUAGGGACGGGGUGCAGCAAUGUGAGGAAAGUGGAAUGAACUUGGACUUUGAAGGCAAACUAACCUGGAAUCAAAUACUGGCUCUGCUGUUUGCAAGUGUGAUCUUUGGGUGUGCUUCCUAAUCUGUGAGCUUCAACUUCCUUCUCUGUAAACCAAGAUCAAAGACAAACAGGGAAACCUACUUGUCUGGUGCCCAUCCCCUUGGCAGAACACUCCUCUGAAGGAUGACAGUUUGGCUGUGCCAGGGCAGAGCUGCCCACACCAAAUAAGCCUUCAUAGCAACUAUCUGAUGAGGAACUCACUGGCCUACCUUUCCUUGACAGCUGGGGCCUGCCAGCCUUGAAGCAUGACUCCACAACGCCCCUACCCAAGGCCAUGGAGGUUGCUGCUGAUGAGCAAGCUGUUUUAUAUUUAAUCCAGGUUUCUGCUUGGAGAGGAAGAAGGUAGAGGAGCCAGCGAAGGUUUGUUUGAAUGAUACUUGCAGAAAAAACACUGGUAGCAGUCACAAAACUUUGAAAAUUAAAGUGCCAGCGAGGUGGCUUUUGGUGGCCAGAUGAAAGCUGUUAACCCCAGCUUUUACAAAUGCUGGGCUUUUGAGUAAGAGGAGAGUGUCUUUCUGGAAAAGUCUGAGACCUCUUACCAUUGUAGCAGCAAAAGCAUCCACGGCUAGUGUUUUCCAAGCUCACUGCUACUUGUUGCAGUCUAGCAGUGUUGUGUCUUCUGAAAUUCCUACCUUUCAUGAUGGAUGUAAAAGAAGUGCCAAUUUAUUAAGCUCUUAGUAUGUGCCAGAUGCUCCAUAUAUGUUACUUUUGAUCUUCAGAAACACUCAGCAACUUACUGCUUCUCCUCACUCCCAAUUACAUAGAUGAUGAAAUUGAAGCAGAGUAGUUUGCCUAGGAUUACAGAGCUAGGAGGGACCAGAGUUGGGAUUCUCCCUCAGUUCUAAUACACAGUAUGCCACAUUUCCUGUCGAGUAGUAACAAAGCUUCUAAGAAAUCUGAGUUUUCAUUUGUUAAAACUGAAUUUUUAAGAAAUGUAGACAGGAGCACUAAGUACUCUACAGUUUAAUGUUAAUAAUGGUACAAGUAUAUAACCAGUUUCUCAUGCACUGGCAUAACAUACUUCAGAGGGUACACCAGGGCUGGAUGAAUAUCUGAACCCAAAAAUAUCUGAGACAGGUCUCAGUUAACUCAGAAAGUUUAUUUUGCCAAGUUUGAGGACAUGCACCCAUGACACAGCCUCAGGUGGUCCUGACAACACGUGCCCAAGGUAGUUAGGGCAAAGCUUUUUUUUAUACACUUUAGAGAGACAGGAGAUAUCAAUCAAUAUAUAUAAGAUGUACAUUGGUUAUGUCCAGAAAGACAGGACAACUUAAGCAGGGAGGGGGCUUCCAGGUCUUAUGUAGGUGAGAGAUAAAUGGUUGCAUUCCUUUGAGUUUCUGACUAGCCUUUCCAAAGGAGGCAAUCAAAUAUGCAUUUAUCUUAGUGAGCAGAGGGGUGACUUUGAAUAGAAUGGGAGGCAGGUUUGCCCUAAACAGUUCCCAGCUUGACUCUUCCGUUUAGCUUAGUGAUGUUGGGGCCCCAAGAUUUAUUUUCCUUUCACACUUCUUCCAUUUUCUUUUCAAAAAUCUUUUGAAGAAAGCAUUUUAGAACAAAAUGAGUCUCUGCUCUCAUGGCUAGGAUAGUUUAUUCCUACAGGGGUAGGUCCCAAGUUAUUAGGAAAGCUCAUUUUUAGCAGGUUGAGAAGUCUCAUGACCUGUGAAGAGAAAAUAGUAGGAGGAAGGGAGAAAAACAAUAAACAAGAGAACAAUCCUAGAAAAUCUAUAUAGACCACGUUACUUUGAAGUCCAUACAUCAGUAGGUAGGUAUGAAAGUGGCUUAUGUACCUAAAUAGAUUGCUUUUAUUUUAUUCUGAAGUUUAAGUUGUCUAGAUUCAGUUUGCAGGACUUUAGAAAGUACAGCUUAGUUUUCAAUUAUUUCGAAUUAGGAAAAAUGGGGUGAGGGGAAGGAAAAGAAGGAAAAAAAUUGAAAACAUUAUUUUGGAGACUUGUAGCCAGGAAAAAUUAGAAUUCAGUCUAAACUGUAGAAAAUAAUAAAAAUAGAAAAACAUUAGGCAAGACUAAAAUCUAACAACAGGUGCACUAUAGUUUUUGAAAUGUAUUUUUUCUCUCUCUAGUUUCCCAUUUUUACUAAAAACAAAUCAUAGAAGAACCAAUUUGCUUUAUUAUACUUGGCCAGAUUAUUUGUAUGAAGUGAAGCAAGAAUAAUUAUUUUUCACAUAGGCUUUUAAAAUUAGCUUUGAUGGACUUCUUCCAUAGAAGGAAUCUCACAUAAGGCUUUUUUAAAGCCAAGCCCAGCCACGGAUUUGUACCAUCAAAUACCUAUGAGUUGGGUGAAUUAUUCUCCUUUUGAGUCCCAACAUAACUUACGUCUCUUGGGCCUGUCAGAAAGUGACAUUCUUUACUUACCACAGGUCAGGAACACCGUUCAGGGACUGUGCAGACAAGGUAUGAGGCCAGUUUCUCCAAGGGGUUUUUAUUGGCUCUAUAAAUCAAGUUUAAUACCUUAAAGGAAAGCACACCAUUCCAGCCAAAGACUCAGUAAAACAACCAGUUUCUCCAAUUGUGUCCUGUUACAAAUAAAAACAGAUUCUUAUUUCACUUAUGCAAAUAAC